UGCCCAGACUCCUACGGGAGGCAGCAGUGGGGAAUAUUGCACAAUGGGGGGAACCCUGAUGCAGCGACGCCGCGUGGGUGAAGGAGUAUUUCGGUAUGUAAAGCCCUAUCAGCAGGGAAGAACAAUGACGGUACCUGACUAAGAAGCACCGGCUAAAUACGUGCCAGCAGCCGCGGUAAUACGUAGGGAGCAAGCGUUAUCCGGAUUUACUGGGUGUAAAGGGCGCGUAGGCGGGAUGGCAAGUCAGAUGUGAAAUCCGGGGGCUCAACCCCUGAACUGCAUUUGAAACUGUCGUUCUUGAGUACUGGAGAGGUUGACGGAAUUCCUAGUGUACCGGUGAAAUGCGUAGAUAUUAGGAGGAACACCAGUGGCGAAGGCGGUCAACUGGACAGCAACUGACGCUGAGGCGCGAAAGCGUGGGGAGCAAACAGGAUUAGAUACCCUCGUAG
rnacentral:rRNA from 1 species